rnacentral:rRNA from 1 species
UACGGGGGGGGCAAGCGUUGUUCGGAAUUACUGGGCGUAAAGGGCUCGUAGGUGGCCAACUAAGUCAGACGUGAAACCCCUCGGCUUAACCGGGGAACUGCGUCUGAUACUGGAUGGCUUGAGUUCGGGAGAGGGAUGCGGAAUUCCAGGUGUAGCGGUGAAAUGCGUAGAUAUCUGGAGGAACACCGGUGGCGAAGGCGGCAUCCUGGACCGACACUGACACUGAGGAGCGAAAGCCAGGGGAGCAAACGGG